rnacentral:lncRNA from 1 species
CAUUCUAACUGUACACGCUUUCAUACGGUUUCAGUUUAAUUUGGCCAUGUUUCUAUGCAUUCCUCUGCUCUUCCAAUUCCUGUGAACCAAACACCCAAGUUGACAAAAAUCAUGUGUUUACAAAUGCUCUAUUACCCACGUGCAUUCCUAUCCUAUUCCGGUGUUUUUCCAAUCCCUGCAUUUUUAGAAUCCUGCAAGCCAAAGGAGCCCUAACAAAAUUACUUCAGUUACAAGUAGGUGUCGAAGAAAACUUUGUGUGGUUUGGCCUGCUCCUACCGCGAUGUCGUCCACCUCACCUGAGCUGCUCCAUCGACAGAAGCAUCCAGCAAACCAGACAUCAUGACUCCUGACCGUCUUUCGCCGCCUCAGAUCUCCUUCGCUGCCGCCGACUCCCACCACAACGGCAUCACCAUCAUUGACUCAGCAGAUGAACCUGAGGAGUACACGGGUCCACAAGAGAGGUCACACUGUUUUGUUUCUGCUUAUAUUAUGCAUUGCUUAAUAUUACCUGCUACUUUAUCAUCAUGUUCACCUCUUAGACUCCAAGUCAGGUCCAAAUUAAUAUUCAAACUUGAGUUUUAAAAUUAGUUGUGGGGUACAUAUCAGGGCAGCAAUGAAUAGUAUCUCUAUCUAUUAUCUGGCACAUAUCAAGUUAGCAAUGAAUAGUAUAUUGGCAUAUGUUGUUCAUCUUGGAUGGGAAAGAAAUAGUAAAGCAAUCAUCAUCUGUCUUUUUAUUAAAUUAAAGCUAUCAUCAGCCUGCUAUCAUUAUUUUUGGAUCCAUCCACUGGUUGUUACCAUCACUCUAGAUUUCUGCAUGCUCUCCUUACAUAAUCUCAUUAUAUUUUUUGUAUGCAUGUCAGAUAUUUUACACAGUUGUGCUGAACAUGUAGAGAAAAAGAGAAGAGUUUUGCGUGGCAAUACGAUGUCAUGCAAACAUCGCUCCAUGGUGGGUUCAAUGGCAAACCCUCCCCCCUCCCCAGAUUGUAAUCCAAAGGAAUAUAUCUAUUCUGAGGCAGAUUCAGACGUUGACCACUCCUAUUUAACCCCAAGGUGUUUGCUCUAACUUGGCAUGAUGAUGUGAGUCAUAUCAUGCAUACGUUGCCUUGCAGUGCCUACUUUCGACAUCAUGUAUGUCAUCUUCUUAGUUUAGAGAUGUUCUGUAAUGCCGCCUAUUUAGUUUCUAUAUCAUAUAUGGAAAUUAUGCAGUCUCAUCUCUUUUAUCCAGCCAUAAUAUAUGUGAAAAAUGCAAUGCCAUCAUGUUUAACCAAGCAUCAUAUAUUUGAAUGAUAUCUUGCCCAUCCUUUUCUUCAUUACAUUUCCAUUUUUCGACAAUAUUUGUACAUUAAACUACUCUUCCUGUGAAUCAGCCAUUUGAGUGAGUGAUGGGAAAAUCUGGAGUGCAAAGAAGGUCUUUAGAGCAGACAGUGCUACCCGUCGAAGCAGAUCUCUUGCUGGGUCCCGAUAGCUCCUCAGAGAUGGAUUCACAGAGAGAUGCCCAGUCCUUUUCUUUAUAUUAAUCUCCAUUAUCUUCCUCUGCCAACAAACUCUUUCUUUACAACUAACCCCUGUGUUCUGUCACUAUUUGCUGAGAGAAGUUCCUGUGUACCCGUGUGCUUGAUGAGUAUGAGAUCAUACUCAUUCUUGCUAUUGUUGUUGAUUUUGUAGAAGUAGCAAAUGAUGGAUGUGCUGAUGAGAAUGAUGAACAGUAGGAGUAGCUCUACGGGUUGGGAAUAAAUAAAGAAGUUGCUUGUAUCAUAACCUUUGUAAUAGCUAGUAAUGAAUAAAGUUGGCUCUUGUGCAUACUGGAAAAUAAUUUGUUUACUAGCCUAACAUGCUUAUAAAUUCGAGAUUUAUAAGCAUGUGGCGAUUGUCACGGCUAAGACUCACGCACUUUAACUGUCACGCCCCGAGACCGGGCCUAGGCGAGACAGCCGCCGCGCACCUAUAGACCAGAGGCCUAUAGUCACGCAAGGCAUGAUAAAGCAGGCAUAAACCAGAAGUGGAUCACAAAAGCUAAUAUAUUUACUAUACAAAUUCCUUGACAUCUACAAAUAGUUGAGUAAAGACAUCAUAUUCUCUAGUCGCUUCCCACCCGCUGGUUAAGCCUAGUCUUGGAUGAAGACAUCUUCUGAACAUACAUAAGUUGAACAUACUUAAGUUACCUCGUUCGCAUCUAAAAAAACAGAGGAAGCAAGGGUGAGUAUGACAAAUCAUACUCAGCAAGCAGAUACUUCACUAUUCAACAAGGAGCGAUGCUAUGAUGGUGUAGAUCAACAGACGAAAUGAACAAGGAAAUUAUUGGCAUCACACAUGACCGCAAGCUUCCCAACCCGGGAGUCACAGGGGUGAAAUUUCACACUUUUACGCUCUUAAGAGGGGUACUCCGACGUCGACAGUCUCGACUAGAACCACACAGGUUCCAGAAGAGCAGAGCUCUUUUACCCACUAAGACCCGGACACCUGGACCUACUGAUGUCGGUCGCUCCUGCGGAUCCAUCACCGACACGUUCCCGAACGAGGUCUGUCCUUAGCAGAGAACCCAGACAGUCCCAUACCUGAACUGUGACCAGUACAAUACGUUUGCCGUCGUGACACCAAUAUAGAUGGAUGUGUGUUUGAAUCAACAUUAGGACCACUGAAGUAUCGGUCAAAGACAAUACACUCAUGGCUUUUCAUGAGUUCCUCCAAAAUACUCUGGUUCCAUCAACAAAUGGAUUAUGAGGAAAACACAUCCCUCUUUCAAGGAUCAACAGAGGAUCAACAAAGAUCAAGGUGCAAUGAUAUUACCAGAUAAUCAAGCAAGACAACAACAAAGAGGGAUCAGGGAGUUUAGCAAAGCAGCUACUUGCCUCAGAUAAUAUGAUUUCUCCUUUAGAAUAAUAUUUUGCAAGAAGAUGAAACUCCAUCAUCUUUGUAUAAAAUCUGACGAACACACAUAUACUCAUAUUUCUUCUGAUGUAUGGCUCGGCUCUUCCCUCCAGCAGCACCUAAACGCUCUAUUCUUCUUCAAAUGUGGAUGCAUGCAUGAAUUCUUCAUCUCUCUUCUUUAUCUUUCUGGUGUCUUUCUUUCUCUCAGGCUCUCUCCUCCAGUGUCUAUGUCUUUCUCUCAGAGCUGUGCUUUGAGCAGCGUGACCCACAACUAUUUAUAGGAGGCGAGCGCCCGUGCAAGUCUAAAAUAUCUUGGCCUGGCUCUCACUUAAGCACUAAGAAAUGGCCACAUAUAAAACACGUAAAAGCUGACUUCUAUUUUCUAUUUCUACGUUUUUCUAGUACUUGGCCACGUUGCAGCCCACGUAGGAAACUUGGGUUUCUAGCGAUGCAGCCGAUGCAUGCAUCUACCCACGUUUGCUUCCAUUCCUCUCAUGUACGUGUAGUUGAUUCACUAGAGUUUUCAAAACACCUGACACAUGCAUGCAUAUCCUCUAGAACCAAGCCACGUUGCCUCUUCCUCAUGAUUACAUACAUGCACCUAUUUGACUUGGAGCUCUAGUACUAGGAAAUAUCUACCGGUGUAUCAUUUGUACCUGGUCUAAUUUCAUCUAUUCAAAUGCCACGUUAACUCUCUUGUAAUUGUCUAGCUUAUAUGGCCAACUAGCUAGUAGUAUUUCCCAUGCCUAUAUCACAACGUGAGUGCAUGAAUGCAAGUCUAUGCGCACAUGCACCUACUCUUACUUAGUGUGUAAUUUUCUAUUAUUUAAUGCAUGUAAAAAAAUUUACAGCUCUAUCUUAAUUCUUUGAAUCAAGAAUUUAGCAUAACUUAGCAGAUAAUACAAAUUUAAUUACUUAUCUUAAUUUAAAUCAAUAACCCAAAAAUAUGGGUUAUUACAUCCUUCCCACCUUAUAAGAAUUUCGUCCCCGAAAUUCAACACUAACAUCUAUGCUUUUUUUUAGUGAUCAAAUUCCCUCCCAUCAUAUUUGGAACAGUUUAUUUGAUGCAUGCUCAAUAAUUAAUUAAAAAUAAUGCAAAAAAGGAUUUGCAAUCUUUCUACAAUUCAUGGAUAUAUCUGCUAUAACAUAAGUUGGCAACACUAAACAUUUUAUUUGGUAAAUUCAUUAACAAAAAGGAUAGAUAGUGGUAUAGCAAUUGUCCCAUUACUGGAACAAUAUCACCGGUUGUCUUAAACAAGAAAAUCUACACAAAUAACAAGUCAUGUAUUAAUCUAACAAGAUGUCUAUUUAUUUCCCAUUCAUCCUCAAAUUUCACCAAUAAUAUGUACGCUAUAUUAUUUAUUUGCAUGGAUAUCUGUCGACAAUAUUCGUGAGUAACAACACACAAACUAGUUGAGACAAGAUAUGAAAAUAAAAUUUUCAUACCUGUCACACAACACAAAUAGAUUCGGCGAUCUACCCGUUUAUCCCAACGCAACCUAAAACCUAGAGCUCUGAUACCACUUUAACAUAAAAGGUAUGAAUAGUUUUUGCGUUUGUCAAAAUUAUUGUUCAUGAGUAUAUUUGUUGAAACAAUAAUUAGUAACAAUAAUGAUGUCCAAUUAGCAUACCAGACGCAUAUAGAGCGGGCCCGGUCUACCUAGAAAGGUACUACUAACUCUAGUGUAGAAGGAGCAGCAACACCACAUAGAGAUGACACAACUAAACCAGUAUCAUGAGGCUUGCCGGCAGCAUGAGUUGGAGUAUCUUGAGCAAGAACAUGAUGACUGUGUUUAUGAGAUCAAGCAUGACCUCAACCUCCAGAUAGAGGACAGGGAUCGUUGGCUCAAAAUAGAAGAACGCAAGAGUAAGAAACUGAAGCUGGAGCGUGAUCAGUUGGAGGAGUUGACCAACAAGCAGGAGAGCAAAAUCAUGGAGCCAAUGACAGAGAACAAAAGCCUCCGUGAGAAGCUGGCGGAAAAGCUACGGGCUGGCGGAAAAGCUACAGGCGCAUGAAUAGGAUGCGAACAGUGGCACUUGGAGAUGUGAAGCAAUUGUUCCUCGCUUCUAAAUAAAUGGUUGUAGUAGUAUUGUUUGUAUAUAACCUGCUAGGAACUGUUCUGGUAGUAGCCUUUUGACUAGCUAGCACUAGCUUUUGUUGACAACUCUAGUAGUAUGGGUGUCUAUAGUAGAGUGGUUGAAGGGAAACGUGGAUGGCAGCAACACAUCUAGUAGACAUGAUGUGUAAUUUUGAUUGUACAACUGCUUUCCUCUUUAUUAAUCAGCUACCUGGUAUAUAUGUAUAUGAUGCAUGCUCUAAUGUUGACAGCUUUAUUUAUUUCUUCCUCUAGUAUUAUAGAUGGCUAGUCACAAUGGAGAUUUCUCAGCAUCACACUCCGGUGAUGGCCGGAAUGCACUAGCAGCUGCAGCAGAGCAACCACUUCCAAAUGAGUUGCUUAUAAAUAUUUUGCAACGUCAAGAACAAACCCAAAUGAAGCAGACUGAAAUUCUGGAAUAUAUAGUACAAGAGUCAACUAAAGGAAAGGAGUCGUUCGAUGGAGACAAACAGGGCGCAUUACGUGAGUUUCGUUGACUUAAGCCUCCUGUUUUCCAAGGUAGUGCAAACCCAAUUGAGGCCGAGGACUGGCUAACAGAAAUAGAGAAAAGUUUUGAUGCCAUGCAUUGCCCUGAUGAAGAGAAAGUUACAUUAGCCACGUUUACGCUUCAAGGUGGGGCAUUUGAUUGGUGGACAGUGCAUAAAAAGAAGUAUCCCGAGGGCUAUCUAUUCACAUGGGAAUCAUUUAAGGAAGAGUUCUACAGAAAGUAUUUUCCGGAGAGCGUACAAAGGAAAAUGGAGCUAUCAUUUUUACAGUUAAAACAUGACCAGAAAUCUGUCGUAGAAUAUGAAAUAGAAUUUUCUAGACUUGCUCGUUAUGCCUCUGUUUAUGUCCAAAAUGAUGAAGCUAAAGCUCGGCAUUUCGCGCAAGGACUUCGCCAACCAAUUAAGUCUCGAGUGGAGGUGUUCGAGCUCAAAUCCUUUCGAGAUGUUGCUAACAAGGCAUUAAUUGUAGAACAAGCAUAUGUGGAAGAGCAAGAUGAAGUGGAGCAGCAGCGUAAGAGGAUCAAGGUUGACCAUGGAAAUCAAGGGAAUAUACAGAAAAAGAUGCAGUAGAAUUGGCGUCCGAACAACCGCCCAGUAACCCAGCCUAGACGAAAUAACUGUGUUAUUUGUCAUGGGAAUCACACAGCAUUUCAGUGUGAGUAUCGUCAUGGGAAAUGUUUUAGGUGCGGCAGAGAAGGACACAUGAUCAGUCAGUGCCACAGUUCACCGGAUCAGAAUAUGUCAAAAUCCAUUGCACCAAAGCCGUUGCCAGCACCAAAGCUCCAUUAUACUUACCUGCACCCCCUACUAACUCAAGUGGAACCUCCCAGCGCAUGAAUAGUUAUUCUCGAAGCAGGAAGCAGACAAAUUCACGUGCAAAGGUGAAUCAUUUGACCCAGCACGAUGCAGAUGAGGACAACAAUGUGAUUACAGGUACACUUCAAGUAUGCUCACACAAUGCAUUCACUUUAUUUGAUACCGGUGCUACACAUUCAUUUAUAUCCUCAAAAUUCAUCGAUAGUCAUGGAUUAGAAAGUACCCCUUUAAGGAAAAGGAUACAUGUGGAAUCCCCGAUGACAGAAGUAAUAGCCAAGAACAUUUGUGUUGCAUAUCCUAUAGUAAUAAAAGGGCAAGAAUUUUUGGUUGAUUUAAUAGUACUAGAUAUGCAUGAUUUUGAUAUUAUACUGGGCAUGGAUUGGCUGGCUAAGAAUCAAGCCAACAUAGACUGUCAGAGAAAAUGAGUGAUAAUUCAGGUACCUGGUCAGCGUAAACUCAUUUAUCAAGCGAAGCAUAAAACUUUUGACUGCUCGUUUAGCAUGAAUUUAGAACUGAAAGAAAAGGAUAUCAAAGAAAUACCAGUCGUAAGAAAUUUUCCUGAUGUUUUUCCAAGUGAAUUACCUGGAUUACCACCAGACCGAGAAAUUGAAUUUAGUAUAGACUUGACUCCUGGUACGGCUCCUAUCUCAAAGAGUCCGUACAGAAUGUCACCUGCUGAACUAAAGGAGUUGAAGAGGCAGAUUAAGGAGCUAGAAGAAAAACAAUUCAUUCGACCUAGCAUGUCACCAUGGGGCGCUCCGGUGUUGUUUGUGAAAAAGAAGGACGGCAGUUGGCGACUUUGUGUGGAUUAUCGGGAGCUAAACAAGGUAACUAUUAAGAACCGAUAUCCAUUACCAAGAAUUGAUGAUUUGUUCGAUCAAUUACAAGGGUGUCGAGUAUUUUCAAAGAUUGAUUUGCAGUCGGGAUAUCAUCAGUUAAAAAUAAAGGAUGGAAAUAUUUCAAAAACAGCGUUCCGCACAAGAUAUGGGAAUUAUGAGUACGUUGUUAUGCCAUUCGGAUUAACAAAUGCCCCCGCGGCCUUCAUGGAUUUGAUGAACCGAGUGUUCAGACCAUUUUUGGAUCAGUUCGUAGUUGUAUUUAUUGAUGAUAUUUUGAUUUAUUCAAAGGCAGAAGAAGAGCAUGCUCAACACCUAGAAAUAGUUCUUCAGAUAUUAAGGAAGCAUAAAUUAUAUGCAAAAUUGAAGAAAUGUGAUUUCUGGUUAAAUAAGGUGUCUUUUCUAGGACACAUUAUUUCAGGGGAAGGAAUAUCACCAGAUCCAACAAAAAUUCAAGCAAUAGUAGAUUGGAAGAGGCCAACCACCGUUACAGAAAUAAUAAGUUUCUUGGGAUUAGCAGGUUAUUACCGAAGAUUUAUUGAAGGCUUUGCACAGCUAGCAGCACCAUUGACACAGCUCACUCGAAAAGGGACAAAAUUUAUUUGGGAUGAAAAAUGUGAAGAAAACUUCCAAGAACUAAAGCAGCGAUUGGUGACGGCCCCUGUUCUAGCAGUGCCAAUAAGUGGAAUUGGAUUUACUAUAUUCUGUGAUGCUUCAAAAAUAGGCUUGGGUUGUGUGCUUAUGCAAAACAAUAAGGUAAUUGCUUAUGCUUCUCGACAGCUAAAGACACAUGAGAAAAAUUAUCUGACUCAUGAUUUGGAAUUGGGUGCUGUCAUCUUUGCAUUAAAAAUAUGGAGGCAUUAUUUGUAUGGAGAACGAUGUGAAAUUUAUACAGAUCAUAAGAGCCUGAAAUACAUAUUCACCCAAAAGGAAUUAAACAUGCGACAACGAAGGUGGCUAGAGCUACUUAAGGAUUAUGAUAUCAACAUAAAUUACCAUCCAGGUAAAGCUAACGUCGUGGCCGAUGCGCUUAGUAGAAAGACUGUUUGCAACAUGGCAUGUCUAAUUACUACACAAAGAGACAUUUUGAGGGACAUGGAGAAAUUGGGUAUAGAAGUAUAUGUACGUGAUUCAACUAGCACUGUUAUGGCAUUACAAGUCAAGCCUGAUCUGCAAGACAAAAUCCGGAUGAAACAAAUGGACGACCCAUUUCUUUUGAACCUCCGAAAGGGGAUAGAACAAGGGAAGCCAUCGGAGUUUCAUAUAAGAAGUGAUGGGUCAGUAUGGCUGAGGAACUGCAUAUGUGUCCCUAACCAGCCAGAUUUAAAGUUGGAAAUUAUGCAAGAGGCACACUCCACACCAUACACCAUGCACCCAGGGAGCAAAAGGAUGUAUCAUGACAUUAAAGGGAAUUUUUGGUGGCCCAACAUGAAGAUAGAAAUAGCAAAAUUUGUUUUAGAAUGUCCAAUAUGUCAGCAGGUAAAGAUAGACCAUCAAAAACCAGCCGGUCUUCUACAACCUUUAAAAAUCCCGACAUGGAAAUGGGAAGAAAUUAGUAUGGAUUUUUUCACGGGUCUACCUCAAACUUCUGCAGGAUACGAUGCUAUAUGGGUCAUAGUAGACAGAUUGACCAAAGUGGCACAAUUUAUCCCAGUAAAGAAAACAUUUUCUCUUGAACAAUUAGCUAAAUUAUACAUCAAGGAGAUAGUUGCUAAUUAUGGAGUUCCUGUCGACAUUACAUCUGAUCGAGAUCCGAGGUUUGUCUCAAGAUUUUGGAAAAGCUUACAUAAAGCAUUGGGAACAAAGUUAAAUUUUAGUACGGGGUAUCAUCCUCAAUCCGAUGGACAGUCAGAACGAGUUAUAAAAAUAUUGGAGGAUAUGUUGCGAGCAAGUGUGUUAGACUUCAAGGAAAAAUGGGAUGAAUCACUUCCUCUGGUUAAAUUCGCAUACAAUAAUAGUUAUCAGUCAAGUAUUAAAAUGGACCCUUAUGAAGCGUUAUAUGGCAAGAGGUGUCGCUCUCCAAUCUGCUGGGAAGAAAUUGGAGAAAGGAAAUAUCUAGGCCCAGAUUUAGUUCAACAGGCCGAGGAAAAAUUACAAAUUAUUUGUGAGCACCUAAAGGCGGUACAAAGUCGACAAAAGACUCAAGCGGAUAAAAAGCGCAGAGAAGUUGAGUUUAAGGCAGGAGAUUUUGUCUAUUUGAAAGUUUCUCCAAAGAAAGGGACAAGACGUUUUGGCCUACGUGGAAAAUUAAGUCCAAGAUAUGUCGGGCCAUUUCAAAUCAUUAAUAAAGUUGGAGCUGUCGCUUAUCGUCUGGAAUUACCCCCAAAUUUAUCAGGGAUACACAACGGUGUUCCAUGUAUCCACUUUAAAGAAGUGUGAAUUCCCACCAAAAACAGUAGAAUUACCACUCACGGAGCUGCAGCCGGAUCUAUCCUAUGAAGAGCACCCAAUAAAGAUUUUGGAUGUAAAAGAUAGGGUAAUGAGAAAAAGGACCAUUCGCUUUGUAAAAGUUCAAUGGAGAAACCAUACAGAGGAGGAGGCGACUUGGGAAAAAGAAGAUGAUCUACACGCAUGUUUUCCGCAUCUCCAGUUUAUGGGUAAUUAAAUUUCGAGGACGAAAUUUCUAUAAGUAGGGGAGGAUGUAAUACCCGUGUUUAUUAGCAUAAAUAAGAUGUUUUAUUUGGUAAGUUAACAAAUUAGCAAAAUAUUGGAGUAGUAAUAAUCAGCUUAAUUAGACAAAUAAAUCAUUGGCAAUCAUUGGUUAGUACUAAGUAAGAGUAGUCAACUUGAAAGGAUAUGCAUUACAAGAACAUGCUUGUAGAACCUUCGGGUAGGAGGGCCAUGUGCGGGUGUGGUACAAGAUAUUUAGUAGCUCAAGUUUGCAUUUAUCUGUAGCAUUUAAUGCUCUAUUGAGUCAGCUAGGCACGUGUAGUGUGAAAGUACAAACAGCUGUAAAACUAGGGACACCGAGGCUGCUGAGUUACACUUAUCCAGCUCCAUUUCCUACCCUACCAUGCCUAUAAAUAGAGGAGCAAGAGCACGCUGUAGUAUUCAUCCCAACAUACAAACCAGUUCACUAACUAGCAUUGCAUGGAGUAGAAUCACACUGAUCGGCAAGAGCGCUCAGAGGAAGCGGCGAGUCAGGCAAGCAUGCAUUCCAUCUAGCCUUUCUAGUUGUCCUAUUCCUUGUUUGUCUCGCUGUUCAUGCCAUGCUCUAUAGCUAGUAGUACUCCUGAAGCUCUAUAGUGUGCACUGUUCAUUUGAUUCCUGUACAUCUCUUGAAGCUAGCAUGCAUACCACAGUACUACCUUUUGGUUUAUGAUCACGGUGGAGAAAUCCUUGGUACAUGCAUGUGAGCACAUGGAUUAAUGGCUCAUGCAUGGAUGGUUGGUUCUGUGAAAAGCCUAGUGAUAUUUAUUUUGGUCUUGCAUGUACUUCCUCUUGCUAAUCCUUGUCUAGUAAAUUUUAUAAAAUCUGGUAUCACGACGGCAAACGUAUUGUACCGGUCACAGUUCAGGUAUGGGACUGUCUGAGUUCUCCGCUAAGAACGCCACUCGUUCGGAAGCGUGUCGAUGAUGGAUCCGUAGGAGCGAUCGACACUAGUAAGUCGAGUGGGCGGUUCUUGGGGGAAUAGAGAGCUCUGCUCUACUAGCGCCUGUGUGGUUCUAGUCGAGGCUGCUGACGUCGGAGUACCCCUCUUAAGAGCGUAAAAGUGUGAAAUUUCACCCCUGUGACUCCCGGGUUGGGAAGCUUGCGGUCAUGUGUGAUGUCAGUUAUGUUUUUCCUUUUCUUUAAAUUAAUCUCCAUUAUCUUCCUCUGCCAACAAACUCUUUCUUUACAACUAACCCCUGUGUUCUGUCACUAUUUGCUGAGAGAAGUUCCUGUGUACCCGUGUGCUUGCUGAGUAUGAGAUCAUACUCAUUCUUGCUAUUGUUGUUGAUUUUGCAGAAGUAGCAAAUGAUGGAUGUGCUGAUGAGAAUGAGGAAUAGUAGGAGUAGCUCUACGGGUUGGGAAUAAAUAAAGAAGUUGCAUGUAUCAUAACCUUUGUAAUAGCUAGUAAUGAAUAAAGUUGGCUCUUGUGCAUACUGGAAAAUAAUAUGUUUACUAGCCUAACAUGCUUAUAAAUUUGAGAUUUAUAAGCAUGUGGCGAUUGUCACGGCUAAGACUCACUUGGGGCGUGACAAUUUUAUAGGUAUCAGAGCUCUUGUACCCACUAAGACACGAACACCUGGACCUACUGAACCUGGCACUGAUACCACUUUAACUGUCACGCCCCGAGACCGGGCCUAGGCGAGACAGCCGCCACGAGCCUAUAGACCAGAGGCCUAUAGUCACACAAGGCAUGAUAAAGCAGGCAUAAACCAGAAGUGGAUCACAAAAGCUAAUAUAUUUACUAUACAAAUUCCUUGACAUCUACAAAUAGUUGAGUAAAGACAUCAUAUUCUCUAGUCGCUUCCCACCCGCUGGUCAAGCCUAGUCUUGGAUGAAGACAUCUUCUGAACAUACUUAAGUUGAACAUACUUAAGUUACCUCGUUCGCAUCUAAAAAAACAGAGGAAGCAAGGGUGAGUACGAAAAAUCAUACUCAGUAAGCAGAUACUUCACUAUUCAACAAGGAGCGAUGGUAUGAUGGUGUAGAUCAACAGACGAAAUGAACAAGGAAAUUAUUGGCAUCACACAUGACCGCAAGCUUCCCAACCUGGGAGUCACAGGGGUGAAAUUUCACACUUUUACGCUCUUAAGAGGGGUACUCCGACGUCAGCAGCCUCGACUAGAACCACACACUUUAACUGUCACGCCCCGAGACCGGGCCUAAGUGAGACAGCCGCCGCGUGCCUAUAGACCAGAGGCCUAUAGUCACGCAAGGCAUGAUAAAGCAGGCAUAAACCAGCAGUGGAUCACAAAAUCUCAUAUAUUUGGUUUACAAAUUUCUUUACAUUUACAAAUAGGCAAACUACAUUAAAUUCUCUAGUCGCUUCCUACCCACUGGUCCAGCCUAAUCUUGGAUGACAUCUUCUGGGCAUACUUAAGUUACAUCGGCUGCAUCUAAAAAGACGGAGGAGACAAGGGUGAGUACGAUAAAUCAUACUCAGCAAGCAGAUACUUCAUUAUUCAACAAAAGCAAUGGUAAAAUGAUGUAGAUCAACAAACGAACUGAAUCCAAAGGAUAAACAAGGUAACAAUCACUGGAACAUAUUUUGCUGGAGAUGUGUAAAAUAAAUAGUAUAAUCAAAGACGAACAAGGGAGGUAUUGGCGUCACACGUGACCGCAAGCUUCCCAACCCGAGAGUCACAAGGGUGAAAUUUCACACUUUUACGCUCUUAAGAGGGGUACUCCGACGUCGACAGUCUCGACUAGAACCACACAGGGUCCAGAAGAGCAGAGCUCUCUAUUCCCCCAAGAACCACCCACUCGACUUACUAGUGUCGAUCGCUCCUACGGAUCCAUCAUCGACACGCUUCCGAACGAGUGGCGUUCUUAGCGGAGAACUCAGACAAUCCCAUACCUAAACUGUGACCGGUACAAUACGUUUGCCAUCGUGAUACCAGAUUUUAUAAAAUUUACUAGACAAGGAUUAGCAAGAGGAAGUACAUGCAAGACCAAAAUAAAUAUCACUAGGCUUUUCAUAGAACCAACCAUCCAUGCAUGAGCCAUUAAUCCAUGUGCUCACAUGCAUGUACCAAGGAUUUCUCCACCGUGAUCAUAAACCAAAAGGUAGUACUGUGGUAUGCAUGCUAGCUUCAAGGGAUGUACAGGAAUCAAAUGAACAGUGCACAUUAUAGAGCUUCAGAAGUACUACUAGCUAUAGAGCAUGGCAUGAACAGUGAGACAAACAAGGAAUAGGACAGUUAGAAAGGCUAGAUGGAAUGCAUGCUUGCCUGACUCGCUGCUUCCUCCGAGCGCUCUUGCAGUCAUGUGUGAUGCCAGUUAUUUCUUUCCUUUUCUUUAAAUUAAUCUCCAUUAUCUUCCUCUGCCAACAAACUCUUUCUUUACAACUAACCCCUUGUGUUCUGUCACUAUUUGCUGAGAGAAGUUCCUGUGUACCCGUGUGCUUGCUGAGUAUGAGAUCAUACUCAUUUUUGCUAUUGUUGUUGAUUUUGCAGAAGUAGCAAAUGAUGGAUGUGCUGAUGAGAAUGAUGAACUGUAGGAGUAGCUCUACGGGUUGGGAAUAAAUAAAGAAGUUGCAUGUAUCAUAACCUUUGUAAUAGCUAGUAAUGAAUAAAGUUGGCUCUUGUGCAUACUGGAAAAUAAUUUGUUUACUAGCCUAACAUGCUUAUAAAUUUGAGAUUUAUAAGCAUGUGGUGAUUGUCACGGCCGCCUAUAGACCAGAGGCCUAUAGUCACGCAAGGCAUGAUAAAACAGGCAUAAACCAACAGUGGAUCACAAAAUCUCAUAUAUUUGGUUUACAAAUUUCUUUACAUUUACAAAUAGGCAAACUACAUUAAAUUCUCUAGUCGCUUCCUACCCACUGGUCCAGCCUAAUCUUGGAUGACAUCUUCUAGGCAUACUUAAGUUACAUCGGCUGCAUCUGAAAAGACGGAGGAGACAAGGGUGAGUACGAUAAAUCAUACUCAGCAAGCAGAUACUUUAUUAAAAUUGUCACGCCCCAAGUGAGUCAUAGCCGUGACAAUCGCCACAUGCUUAUAAAUUUGAUUUAUAAGCAUGUGGCGAUUGUCACGGCUAAGACUCACUUGGGGCGUGACAGCCCCUGCCUGGAUCAAGUCUGUGAUGAGGUGUGUGACAAAUGUUUGUUAUGCUGUUAGAGUUAACGAGGAACUUACUGAUCCGGUGGUACCUUCUCGGAGUAUUCGCCAGGGGGACCCGAUCAGCCCCUACAUGUUCCUCUUAUGCACUGAAGGUCUAUCUAGUCUGCUUUUUCAGAAGGAGUGUCGUGGCGAGCUACAUGGGAUCAGAAACGGCCGUCAAGGUCCACCUAUCUCACACCUCCUAUUCGCGGACGAUAGCAUUUUCUUUGCAAGGAGCGAUCACCGUAGUGUGGCCUCGCUGGCAUCGGUUUUACACACAUUUGUGAGGGAUCUGCCCAAUCUAUCAACAAGGAGAAAUCUUCAAUCUUCUUUGGAAAUCACUGUCCGGAUAGUGUCAAGAAUAGGGUUAAGUCUCAGCUUGGAGUCUAUAAUGAGGACUUUCAUGGAUCUUAUCUUGGGAUGCCCACGGAGGUUGGAAAAUCUCCUACUAGCACUUUCAAAAUUUUGACUGACAGAGCAUGGCAGAAUAUUUUUGGAUGAUGCGACCGACCUUUAUCUAGGGCUGGAAAUGAAACACUGCUAAAAUCAAUUACACAUGCCAUCCCAACAUUUGUCUCCAGCUGCUUUCGCCUUCCUGUCGCAACGUGUGAGAAGUUUUGCCAAAUUGUGGCCGAUCAAUGGUGGGGUCGAGAGGAUGGAAAGAGGAAGCUACACUGGAGGUCUUGGGCUUGGCUCUCGACCCCAAAGUCGCUUGGUGGUAUGGGUUUUCGGGAUAUGGUGUUGUUCAAUCAGGCAAUGCUUGGUAAGCAGGGAUGGCGGCUUAACCUGAUUCGCUUUGUGCUCGUGUUCUGAAGGGCAGAUACUUUCCGACAGGGGACUUUUGGAACACCACGAUGCCACGAACUGCCUCGGCGACCUGGCGUGGUAUCCUAAAUGGCCGGGACUUUCUCAAACAAGGGGUUCAGUGGGGCAUUGGUGAUGGUAGGAACAUACGCAUUCUAUCUGAUCAUUGGAUCCCAUCAACAUCACCGGCCCGACUGCAUCCUCUGUUCCCCAUUCCAGUAACCGCCACUGUCCACUGUCUUCUAGACGAGGUGAACGGCUCUUGGGAUGUGGAGACCGUGAGAGCUUUCUUUCCUGAGAGAGUGGCUGAUGAUAUCCUUCCGAUUCCAGUUAACAGAUUCAAGGGUCCAGAUUUUGCACGUUGGCCUUUUUCCAAAUUUGGAGAGUAUUCGGUCAGGUCUGCGUAUAACAUGGUAAGAACGACCCGUUUCUUGUUGGCUCGGAGUGGCAAUGGCCUGGGUCAGAGCUCGACCUGGUCAGAAGAAGAAAAGCUAUGGAAGGCGUUGUGGCGAGUCAAGGCACCCAACAAGAUGAAGAUUGUCCUAUGGCGAUUGGCUCAUGAUUGUCUACCGUCAGGGGAGCAGCUUCUUCAUCGCCAGAUCCCGACUAGAACAGAUUGUUGUUUCUACGGCAGAUCGGAGAGUGUGGAGCACGCGCUGCUCUUCUGCCCCCAUGCGCGGGCGGUCUGGGAUAUGAUCAGGGAGUGCUUCGAUAUUAAGCUCUGUCGGUCCUCUUUUGCAUCUCCUAAACAGUGGCUCUUUGACUUUCUCUCCCGCUUCUCCGAUCAAGAAGCGACAAUCUUGACUGUGUCGGUUUGGCACAUAUGGGAGGCACGAAAUGCUGGAAGGAUGAACCUGUUGCUCCUCAUCCGAGGCACACAGCGGCUAGGGCCCGAGCUUACAUCGAGUUGAUCUUCCAACACCUGUACAAACCUGUGCCUGCACUUAGGCGUGAGACCUCUACGUCAAGCCCUCUUUGGUCUCCGCCGCCGCAGGGCACGCUGGUCGCCUUCUCAGAUGCUGCUAUUUCGGUGGAACUGAACAAAUCUGGGUUUUGGUGUGGUAUUUUUGGAUCAUACGGGUCACUGUGUGGCGUCUUGCUCUAAACUUGUGAAAGGUGUGUUGGAUCUUGAAGUGGCCGAGGCCAUGGCGCUCCGUCGAGCUGUCCGUUUGGCUAGAGAGGAAGGAUUUGCUGAUGUGCUUUUCAAGUCAGACUGUCUCUCAGUGGUGCAGCGCAUGAAAUCUCCAGCCAUGGAUCGUUCAAUGAUGGGAUCUGUGUUGGCUGAGGUCAAGGUAGUGGCUAAUGGUCUCCACUUUGCGUCGUUUUUGCAUAUACGUCGGCAUAUUAAUGUUUUAGCUCAUGUCUUACCUAGAUCAAGCUUGUUUUCUACUAGUCUUUGUAUUUCUCAUUCUGCUCCGGAUUGCAUCAACUCUUUGUAAGUUUGUUUCUUAAUCAAUAAAGGCCGAUGUUCCAAAAAAAACAAUUCGGUUUGGAGGCGUGGCCAUCGCAGCCUCGCACUGUGCCCACGAUUAGAAAACUCGCUGACCUCUUCUAGAUACAUUGCAUACAUUCGCAAAAAGAGUAUACGUUGCAUACGUAGUCCGAAGAUGGUAAAUAUGUCUAGACUAUUUCUCCCGACAGGUACUCCCUUCUUUUCGAAAUAUAAGUUAUUUUAGGGAUUUUAAUAUGAACUGACAUAUUUUAGAGUAUACAUCCACUCAUCUUGUUCUGUAUGUAAUACUCCCUCCGUUCCUAAAUGCAAGUCUUUUUAGAUAUUCCACUACAAACUACAUAUGGAUGUAUAUACACAUAUUUUAGAGCAUAGAUUCACGCAUUUUGCUCCGUAUAUGGAUCAUAGUGGAACCUUUAAAAAAACUUAUAUUUAAAAACGGAGAAAGUGUAUAUUAAAAUCUCUGAAAGAGACUUGUAUUUAGAAACGAAGGGAGUAUUUCCAAACAAAGCGAGUAUCUUGGCCGCAACCGCAGCUAGCGGACGACGCCGAUGAUGUUGAGACGCCAUCAAACCCAGCGAGAGGGCAGUUGCGUGGGAUCGACGUAAGUGGCAUUAUGACAAAGCUGUCAAGGUGCAACUGCUUCUCCCGCCGCACUGUUACGGAUGUCACGGGGGGCAUAGCUAGUUAAGCUGCGGGAGAGUGGAACCCAGCCCACGCACCGUUGUUGAUCCUAUCUCGCCGAGAGUCGCCGGCUCCGGCCACAGGCCGGGCAGCCGGGCAAGCUUCGUCCUGCAUGCGAUCGAUGCAUGCAUGGACCACUUAGCCACUCGAUCGGUCGGAAUUAAGCGAGCCACGGUACGUUGAGCUAGCAUGAUUGGCAGAAGCAGGGCGCCCCUCACGUCGCAUGCAGCCACUAAGGCCCUGUACAAUGGGAGGUGCUUAGGGGAGAUGCUUAGAGAAAUAAACCAGGCUUUUCUUAAGUAUCGGUGCUUAUUUGUACAUGAUAGAUGCUUAACUAAGCGUCUCUCCUGUAGAAAUAGGCACCGGUGCUUCAAAAAAACCCGGUUUAUUUUUUAAGCAUCUCUUUAAGUACCUUCCAUUGUACAAGGCCUAACAGUGACACACUAGCUGCUCCUCUCAUGUCGUGCGUGUCUGCAUGUGCAUCGUGUGACCACAGGGCAUGAUAUGGAUGCAAACUUUUGUUAGGCAGAUCAGAUGGCUCUAGUCGCUCGUAUAGAUAACCAAGGGAGGGAGCUCCACAUGAGAUGUUUAUGGCGCCUUAAUCGGGGUGUUAGGCUGCUCCGGCAAAGCACAGCACCACUGCUGAACGCCUGCGACGGUGGGUCUGCCCCCACGUGAUAUUGCUCUCUAGCUUCUCUUUGUUGUGUGUGCCCAGCCUCAAUAAUCCAUUUUUUCUGAAAUCUUAUCCGCUUAUCCCUUACCCAUGAGUGACCGGGUCGUGCUGAGCAGUAUCGUGCGGACGUACUAAUGGAAAUUGUUUAGUAUGCUACAUAUAUCUUGGUCCGUGCUUGAAUUAGUUGUGCAUAGUUUAUCCUAAAUGCUGCGCAGCAUUUUUCUAGCCAUCGCGCGCGAAAGCUCUUCCUGCCUUCGAUCACCUAGCACGAAUCACGAUGCAAGGCUGAUGUCAGGUCGGUUUUUUGAAUUGUUCGCGCACGCGUCUGAAUUGAGCAAACGAAGUUCAGCUUGGAGCAACUCCAAUGCGCCAAUCCAAACAGCCGCCAAUGCGUCCAACACACCGAUCAUAUUUGCCGGCGUGGCCGGUUGGCUGCCUUUUUUUUAACAAAUAUACGCACAUUUUGCAUAGUUUCACAACUAAAUAAACAUAAUUUCACAAUCAAAUAAAGCAUAGUUUGACAACUAAAUAAAUUUAGCAUGGUUUUACAAGCCGGAUAAAAAUUAAAUUGUCUCAAAUACAUGUGAAAAAAAGAUACAUCUAUUGGUUGCCAACAUGAGCCCACAUAUACUCAACAAAAUCAUUUUGCAGCUGCAUGUGAGUUUUUUAAUCACGCAUUUCAUGAUGAAAUUGUGUGAACUGUGCAAAAGUGGUCGCUCCUCCAUAUUCAGGCACAACAUUCUCACCUAAAACUAAAACCUUGAUCGUAGGUACGUUCCGGGCGCUUAUCCUCCACGAUUAUAUUGUGCAUGAUCACACAAGUAGUCAUCACCUCCCACAACUUCUUUGUUCUUCAAGUCCUAACAGGAUACCGAACGAUGCCCCAAUGAGAUUGCAGAACACCAAAGGCACGCUCAACAUCCUUCCUAGCACUCUCUUGCUCUUGGGCAAAUAUUUUCAUCUUCUCUCAGACAGGGUUGGGGAUUGUCUUCAUAAUAGUGGUCCACUGAGGAUAGAUACCGUCACCUAGGUAGUAUCCAUAGUCGUAGUUGUGCCCGUUGAUGGUAACAUUCACCAGCGGGUUGUUGCUUUUGACAGGCCUUGCAAACACGGACGAGCGUUGAAGCACGUUGAUACCAUUAGGUGAUCCCGCCAUGCCGAAGAAAGAGUGACAGAUCCAAAGAUCUUGUGGCCACGGCCUCAAGUAUGACACAGCAAACCCUGGCAUGGCACUUAUACUGCCCUUGCCAAGUAGAAGGUGAAGGAAAUAUGCCCUAGAGGCAAUAAUAAAGUUGUUAUUUUAUAUUUCCUUAUUCAUGAUAAAUGUUUAUUAUUCAUGCUAGAAUUGUAUUAACCGGAAACUUGAUACAUGUGUGGAUACAUAGACAAAACACCAUGUUCCUAGUAAGCCUCUACUAGACUAGCUCGUUAAUCAAAGAUGGUUAAGUUUCCUAACCAUAGACAUGUUUUGUCAUUGGAUGAACGUGAUCACAUCAUUAGAGAAUGAUGUGAUGGACAAGACCCAUCCGUUAGCUUAGCAUAAUGAUCGUUCAGUUUUAUUGCUAUUGCUUUCUUCAUGUCAAAUACAUAUUCCUCCGACUAUGAGAUUUUGCAACUCCCAGAUACCGGAGGAGUGCUUUGUGUGCUAUCAAACGUCACAACAUAACUAUAAAGAUGCUCUACAGGUAUCUCCGAAGGUGUUUGUUGGGUUGACAUAGAUCAAGAUUAGGAUUUGUCACUCUGAGUAUCGGUGAGGUAUCUCUGGGCCCUCUCGGUAAUGCACAUCAUAAGAAGCCUUGCAAGCAAAGUGACUAAUGAGUUAUUUACAGGAUGAUGCAUUACGGUAUGUGUAAAGAGACGUGUCGGUAACGAGAUUUAACUAGGUAUGAAGAUAGCGACGAUCGAAUCUUGGGCAAGUAACAUACCGAUGACAAAGGGAAUAAUGUAUGUUGUCAUAAGGUUCGACCGAUAAAGAUCUUCGUAGAAUAUGUAGGAGCCAAUAUGGGCAUCCAGGUCACACUUUUGGUUAUUGACUGGAGAGGUCUCUCGGUCAUGUCUACAUAGCUCUUGAACCCGUAGGGUCCGCACGCUUAACGUUUGUUGACGAUAUAUUAUUAUAUGAGUUAUGUAUGUUGGUGACCAAAUGUUGUUCGGAGUCUCGGAUGAGAUCACGAACAUGACGAGGAGCUCCAGAAUGGUCCGAGGGUAAAGAUUCAUAUUGGAAGAUAUGGUUAGGCCAAGGGGUUUGGCCCAUGGGGCUAUAGGUCGGUGCAAAAGAAAGUUUUGUGGAGGUCAGAGGCCAAACGCCGGAGACCAUGGCGUCUGGCCCUGGGCCAGACGGCGAGGCCCAUGGCGUCUGGGCCAGACGCCAAGGAUUGUGGUGUGUGGGCCUGGAGUCUGAGUGGGAUUCCUGCCUUUCGGGCAAAACCGACUUUGAGGAGGCUUUUGCUCCAAGUUUCGACCCCAGGGCUCAACAUAUAAAUAGAGGGGCAGGGCUAGCACCAAAGACACAUCAAGAUUCACCAAGCCGUGUGCCGACAACCCCGUCCCCUCUAGUUUAUCCUCCGUCAUAGUUUCCGUAGUGCUUAGGCGAAGCCCUGCGGAGAUUGUUCUUCACCAACUGAACUCAUCUACUUCCUCGACACUCUGCUGGAUCAAGAGUUCGAGGGACAUCAUCGAGCUGAAUGUGUGUAGAACUCGGAGGUGCCGUACGUUCGGUACUUGAUUGGUCGGAACGAGAAGAAGUUCGACUACAUCAACCGCGUUGUCAAACGCUUCCGCUUUCGGUCUACGAGGGUACGUAGAUACACUCUCCCCAUAUCGUUGCUAUGCAUCUCCUAGAUAGAUCUUGCGUGAGCGUAGGAAUUUUUUGAAAUUGCAUGCUACGUUUCCCAACAGUGGCAUCCGAGCCAGGUCUAUGCGUAGAUGAUAUGCACAAGUAUAACACAAAGAGUUGUGAGCGGUGAUCGUCAUACUACUUACCACCAAUGUCUUAUUUUGAUUCGGUGGUAUUGUUGGAUGAAGCGGCCCGGACCAACCUUACAUGACCACGUUCAUAAGACCAGUUCCACUGAUAGACAUGCAACUAGUUUUGCAUAAAGGUGGCCGACGGGUGUCUAUUUCUCCUACUUUAGUUGAAUCGAAUUUGACUGCAGACGGUCCUUGUUGAAGGUUACAACAGCAAACUUGAUAAAUCACCAUUGUGGUUUUGUGCCGUAGGUAAGAACGGUUCUUGCUAGAAUCUCGUAGCAGCCACGUAAAACUUACAACAACAAAGUAGAGGGCGUAUAACUUGUUUUUGUAGGGCAUGUUGUGAUGUGAUAUGGUCAAGACAUGAUGUGAUAUACGUUGUUGUAUGAGAUGAUCAUGUUUUGUAGAAGUUAUCGGCAACUGGCAAGAGCCUUAUGGUUGUCGCUUUAUUGUAUGAAAUGCAAACGUCAUGUAAUUGCUUUAGUUUGUCACUAAGCAGUAGCGAUAGUUGUAGAAGCAAUAGUUGGCAAGACAACCAUGACGCUACGAUGGAGAUCAAGGUGUCAAGCCGGUGACAAUGGAGAUCAUGACGUUGCUUUGUAGAUGGAGAUCGAAAGCAAAAGAUGAUGGUGGCCAUAUCAUGUCACAUAUUUUGAUUGCAUGUGAUGUUUAUCUUUAUGCAUCUUAUUUUGCUUAGUACGGCGGUAGCAUUAUAAGAUGAUCCCUUAACUAAAUUUUAAGGUAUAAGUGUUCUCCUCGAGUAUGCACCAUUGCAACAGUUCUUCAUGCUGAGACACCACGUGAUGAUCGGGUGUGAUAGGCUCUACGUUCACAUACAAAGAGUGCAAGAUAGUUUUGCACAUGUGAAAUACUCGGGGUAAACUUGACUAGCCUAGCAUGUACAGACAUGGCCUUGGAACACUCUAGACUGAAAGGUCGAACGUGAAUCAUAUAGUAGAUAUGAUCAACAUAGAGAUGUUCACCAUUGAUGACUUCUCCAUCUCACGUGAUGAUCAGACAUGGUUUAGUUGAUUUGGAUCACGUAUCAUUUAGAUGACUUGGGAGAUAUCUAUCUAAGUGGGAGUUCUUAAGUAAUAUGAUUAAUUGAACUUAAUUUAUCAUGAACUUAGUCCCGAUAGUUUUUGCAUAUCUAUGUUGUAGAUCAAUGGCCCGUGCUACUGUUCCUUGAAUUUUAAUGCGUUCCUAGAGAAUGCUAAGUUGAAAGAUGAUGGUAGCAACUACACGGACUGGGUCCGUAACUUGAGGAUUAUCCUCAUUGGUGCACACAAGAAUUAUGUCCUUCAUGCAUCGCUAGGUGUACCACCCCCCCUCCAGACACCUGCAGACGUUGUGAACGCCUGGCAGUCGUGUGUUGAUGACUACUCAAUAGUUCAGUGUGUCAUGCUUUACGGCUUAGAAUCGGAACUUUAAAGACGUUUUGAACGUCAUGGACCAUAUGAGAUGUUCCAGGAGUUGAAGUUGAUAUUUCAAGCAAAUGCCCGAGUUGAGAGAUAUGAGGUCUAUGAUACGUCUCCAACGUAUCUGUAGUUUUUAAUUGUUCCAUGUUGUUAUAUUAUCAUUCUUGCAUGUUUUGCAAUCAUUUUAUAGUCAUUUUAUAUCAUUUUUUGGUACUGACCUAUUGACAAAGUGCCCCGUGCCAGUUGUUGUCUUCUGCUUGUUUUUUACAUCACAGGAAAUAAAUAACAAACGGAGUCCAAACGCAGUGAAACUUUUUAUGGAUUUUUUUGGACCAAAAGACAUCCAGUGGGCAAAGAAAGUAAUCUGUUAGUCAGCCCAAGAAGGCUAUGAAGAAGAAAUCUAUUGUGAAGCCAUCUUCUUCUGCAAUGCCCUCACGGCCUAGCUCCUCAUUGCCCUCAUGGCCCAGCUCCUCAAAGCCCUCAGCUGCACCUACAAAGUUCUCAGCACCAGUGCAUCUUACCACGUGCCAAAGGACUACAUGCUUUUCAAUUGCUUCAGGAGCUUCAGCAAGUUCCUCAGCACAGCCAUAGCUGCUGAAGAAAAAGGUCACUGCUAGACACGGCAGAAGGCCAAGUCCUCACAAGAAGCAGGUCGCUUUUGAAGUACCAUCAUCUAAAGAGGACGCUGAUGAUGAAGAACUGGCUCAAAUCAUCAGAGACCGACAAAACCGGGCCGCUAGUGCCAAAGGUAGUGUCGUGCCGCUCUUGCUGGAUCCGAAGAAGAUCCUUGACUACACCGACCUUUGGCAUAAAGAUCCCAACACACCUCUCUCCUAUCUGAAGCUCACACCAGGCCAAAGUCACGUGUUGACUGCUUUCAUUGCUGAAGAAAAAUGGAAGUUUGAGAAGAAAGAUCAGUGAAGAAAGCUCAGUACAAGAAGGAGCAUUAUCUGAAGAAAAAUGUUCUAAAAAUGACGACUGAACAACUUGUAACUAUUUAGUCUGAAAUCAAAGCUCUCAAUGAUGAAUUUGACGCAUACAAAGCUGAUUGGCUAGGAGCCAAAGUCAGAUUCGUCAAGCUGGCUAAAGGCCUCAAGCCCAAUGUUGUUGCUGAAGCGCAACAAGAAGUUCCUCAGGGUGAAGCAUCUGCUCAGCCCACUGAAGAACAUGCCAGCACCACUGAUGAAACUUAGGCUGCUGAAGAAACUGAGAGUGCUAGGGCUGAUGAUGCUAUUCCAGCCAACGUUGUGCCUAAAGAAAUUGUGCCUCUGUCAUCUGCUUCCCCUGCAAAAUCUUCAGAGAUGAAAAGCACUCUCCUUCCUUUUGCAUCAGAAGUGAAGAAAACCAAGGCUGUCGAAAGGGCAUCAGCUAAGAAGAGGAAAGCAUCAGACGCCUCAAAGUCUUCAGCUCCGAAGAAAGUGAAGACUUUGACGAGCUCUUUUGAGGAUCCCAUUGAUGUUGUUCCACUAAAUGUCAUGCCAUCAAAGGAAAUUGUUCCCUUUGGUGAAGAAUAUGUCAUCGAUGAUGACAUUGAUGAAGGUGAUCCAUCUGCUGCUACGUCAGAGCAGUUGGAUGAAGAAAUUGAAGUGGAUGAUAUCCCUUCAUCGUUACAGGUAUCAUCGCCGCUGCCUUAGUUCACUACUGAAGAGGUCGGUGUUGAAGAAGUUGAAGCUAAAGAAGAGGAUGUGGACAUCGGGUCUACGACUCCAGUGAUGAAUGACGAUUAUUGGGAAAGUCAUCAUCCCAAUUCUCCUCUGUUCACUCCUUUGCAAUAAAUUCCUCAGUCCCCCGUGCACACUGAAGUAAUCCACUCGGGUUCUGAUCACGGCCAAGCUUCUCUUCACUCCAUCCCUGAAGAAAUUCCGGCCACUAGUGCUGAUGAGAUUGAAAAAAAGACAGCAGAAGAAACUGCUCCUAAGAUUCCUCAGCCAGAGGUUGUGCUUCAAGCGGCUGUGAAGACUUCAACUAUAAAUCUUCAGCCCAAGCCACAGGAUCCUCACUCCAAGAAGCAGAAGUUCAAGGCUGAUGAUUUCUUUGCUGAACACCAUUUCUUCUCUGAUUUCAAUCCCUAUGACACUGCUCGCCUUUGCCGCAAGCGCUUCUGGACUGCUUCCCGGAUGAACAUCUAUAACACUGCUAUUUGGCAAGGACAAAAGUGUUUGACCACAGGCAAAUUCCACAUGUGGAUAUGGAGUCACUUCCAUGCUUUACUCCAGUCCUCAGUGUUCUUCAUGAUGCAAGGAUGCUCAACUUUUGCACAGACAUAUGCGACUGGAAUGAAGAACUAAUUCUUCCGUUCUAUGCCACUCUGCAUCUGACACGCAACGUUGACAUGUGAAUUCAUGGGUCUUGGACUGGAUAACUGAAAAUACUCAUCACAAACCUCUGGCCUCUGAAUUGCUUCAUGUCGUCCCAGCCAUUUUGCCCACCGAAGGAGCACUGAAGCUAUAUGAGGAACCUGAACUGUCAAAUCAUCUGAUGCAUGUGCUGAUGAAGCCUUUGAAGCCUGGCCAAGCGCCUAGGACUGUCUAUCACAUUAUGGCCAAAACCCUCAGUCCCAUUAAGGGACACAACUCUGAAGAAGAAGAAGUUGUUGGCAUCAUGAAGAACUUGCUUUGCAAUAUCAUGCAUGGUAUUCCAAUCAACUAUCAUGAUUUCUUCAUGAGGACUUUGGCUAAUGCUGCUUUGUCACCCUUUGAGUUGAAGCCUUACGCUCCCUGGAUCAUGAAAUUCCUCAGAUCAAGGACUUCAAUUCAUUACAAGGCUGACUUUCAGAAUCAUCUCAGUUAUUUGCCCCCGAUUGAAGUCCUCAAAUGGACUAUUUCCUUCGUUGAUGAGAAGGGCAAGGCUGCAGUUAUUGAUGAGGGCACACAUCCUUUGGAUGGACAAUUUCGAAAGGCAGCACCCUACUCCACUAAUGAUGACUCUGCCACAAAUGACACUGUUGCAAAUGCUUCAAAGUGAAAUCCUCAGGCAACAGCUCCGCAUGUGAUGACUGAUUGUGAGCUGCUCCUAAGUCUUCAUCAGAAGGUGGACAUAAAUCACAAUUGGGUCAAGCGUCAGUUUGGUGCAAUCCUUCACAAGAUGAGAUUCACUCAAAAUACCGUGAAGAAGAAUCACUAUUAUCUGCAUCAAGUCUUCGAUCGCACCUGGGCUAUUCUCUCAUAUGUCUACACCGAUGAUGAACUCAAGAAGAUGGACUUACAAUAGGACUUUGACUGGUCUCAGUCACCUUCAAAUAAAUUCAAGAAGGUCAAAGUUCCUCCGCUGGUCGUCAGCUCCUAUUCUUCAUUGCAUGAGAUGGACGAAGCUGAAGAUUUGGCUGACACUGCAGCAGGCCCUACUACAACGGACGACCCCAACAACGCUGGCGCUCCUCCAUCGACAUCAUGAUGAUAUUCUUCAGGGGUGUUUGUCCUCACUUUUCGUCCCUUUUGGUCAUUUGAUGACAAAGGGGGAUAAAUUUGAGUUAGUCUUCAAGCGGGUCUAUAUAUGGGCGUUUUUUGCUAAGUUACAACUCUCGCUCUUCUGAAGUAUUUGUCAGAUCGAGUUGUAAACUUAAGUCCUAUGGUGGCCUAAUACUUUUGCUCUAUUUUUCUGCACGCUAUUUCCUCAUAUAUGUGAAUGCACGCAUGGUGAAUUACAUCAGUCACCAUAUUUCAUCAUGCAUUUCAAAUUCUUCAUUCGAUAUGUUUAAUGUGUGUAUGAAUUACAAGAUAUAGGGGGAGAUCUACAUGAUAUUACUCUACAGUGUGCAUUGCUUAUUGAAAGAAAAUUCCUCACAUAUGCACAUAGGGGGAGUUCUUCUAUAUCUUGCAAUCAAAUUUCUCAAUACUGAGCACUUUCAAUUGAUAUGUUUAUCCCUGUUGAAAGCUCAACCUAUUUGUCAUCAAUCACCAAAAAGGGGGAGAUUGUAAGUGCAUCUAGUGCCCCUUAGUGAUUUUGGUGUAUUGAAGACUUAUAUGUUAAGGGACUAAUAUGUUUGUGAGUGUACACAGGCUCUAUAAGUCGAUGAGGAGUUUGAUAUUUACGAUGAAAGUCGACCCCUAAAAAUGUAUGUCUUCAGCUGAAGACUUUGGUUCUCCUGAAGAUUUUGAAAGUGAAGAAAUUGGUGUGACCUUGAAGACUUGGAUAUUCAUGCGAGGAUUAUGAAGCGUGAAGACUUUUGUUUUCGUAGUUUCAUUUUCACUUUCUUGAGUCAUAGGAAAGACCGUACUGUUAAAGGAGGUCGAGGCAAAACUAAGGAAACUGAUUUCCAAGUGAUGCUCAUCUCAAAAUCCUACACCUACCCAAUCCUUUCGAGUGAAGCCAUUGGAAAUCUCAUAUCAGUUCAGUCAAUUUCUUCAGUGACAAAGAUGAAGAUCUUCUGGUCUCUAAGGAAUUUGUUCUGAUUGAGGAGUUAGGAAUUCACCAGUGUGGAUUGCCUACACAGUGAGGAACAUGAUAGCCCUGGGGAAUUCGAACCUCAAAUAUCCGACCGUUGUUGUGCUAUGCGCCAGCUAUCCAAAAUAUCUACCAACCUAAUGGUCAUAUCAUUGAAGGGCAUUUAUGUCUUAUCAUGUCGGGCUGUUACCUAGGCUAUAAAUAGCUACCCCCUACAACCACUAGCUAGUUGGCUGCUCCGCGAGAAACUGACACUUGUCAUUGAGAGCAUCCCAUCCUCCGAGGACUUUGAGCGAAAAUCAUCAAGUGAGGAAAACCCAAAACCCAAAACCAAACACCUACAAACCCAAAGUGAUUAAGCAUCACUGAAGAGAUUGUUCCUGUGUGGAACCGACGGUUGUUACCUUUGAGGACUGUGUAUCCUCCAGACGGUUAGGCAUCAUGGUCUGAGCAUCCAAGAGGAAUUGUGGAUCAGCAAGUGACCUAGUUUGUGAAGGUUUGAAAGUCACCUGAAGACUUACCACGAGCGUUGGGCGAGGUCUGUGUGACUUUAGCUCAAGGAGAAUACGGUGAGGACUGUGUCCGGGACUGUGUGUCCUUGAGUUUAAAUACUCAGCCGCUCCAACCAGACGUACAACUGUCACAACAGUUGGAAGUGGUCUACCAAAUCAUUGUCUUCACCAAGCCUAUUGGUUCUAUUUCCUCAACCCUUUCAUUUCCUCAUUCAUGUGUUGAUGAACUUGAUCAUUACUGUUUGAAGACUUUGACUGAAGAGGGUCUCUAUUUCCUUAAUCCAAUCUCUUCAGUCACAUAGUCUUCAUCCUGCUUAUCUUGUUUUCAUGCUAUCUGUACUCUGUGCUUGUUUUCAUUUCAUCAUGAUGACUAUGUUGCCGCUCUGUUAUGCUUAUACCUGAGUACUUAUUCCGCUGCUAGUGUGUCCUUGCUUAGGAAUUUCUUCACCUAGAAAUUCCUCAGUGACGAAUUUGUAAAAAUCGCCUAUUCACCACCCCUAGUGUCGAUAUAAUGUACUUUCAACAAGACUCUCUCUUUGUGUGGUGUGAAUAGUUUUACUUUUUUUCAUUUUUUUCAUUGAGGGAAGUGCAAAUUAAUUUGGUACGUACAAUAUUACACGUUAGGCUUGUCCCUAAAAUUCAACCCGCGCCUAGUUAUAUCAUGAAAACUCAGAUAUCAUGCUCCCAAAACUCGUGCCUUCACAACCCGCACCUUGCUAUCCCGAAAUUACAACGUGCGCGAAAACUCCCUCCAACCGCCAAAUCCUGACACGCGAAAUCCCCCUUCUAACCCUGAGCUGAAAGGGCUGCUAGUUCAAAUUGAUGGGGGUACUUUUGUAAUACACCCUACAUUUUGGACAAGCGCGUCCCUAAGUCAUGGUUCCCCCUCCCAUCGCCUCCUUUUCGCCAUUCAAAAUCCCAGGCCACCAUAACCUCUCUACUCCAGCCACGAAACCCGACCCUCCUCCAUUCACCACCUCCCCGCUGCCCAGCUGAAGCCUCUUCCCUGACAACAUCGUCCGCCACACAACUCGACGUCCCUCAUCCACCUCCCCGGAUGGGGAUCCGCCGUCCAGCCGGUUCAGCCACCACGUCCUCCACCUUCAAGGAGCUGCUCCGAUGAUCGCCUCGUCUAUCACGGCUGCUCCAUCCCCACAGCUCCGCCUUAACCUGCUCCACCGGAACCGCAACAUCCUCACUGACUCCUCAGACGAAGUCGAGGCCUACUCGGUGCCACCAAAGAGGUUGUACACUCACCGCAUCGCACCUUCUCCUUAACUCGACCUCCCCGCACCGACGGUGCUCCAUCUCGCACCCCCAUGGCGGGGCUACCUCGAAGCCGGCACCAUGGGCGACAUCUCCAUGGCGGCUCUACCCAGUGCAAGGCCCCUUGGGUGGUGGCGUCCAUACCAGCCGGAUCUGCUGCUACUGCUCCAGCUCUCGCUCGCUCGCUCGCGCUACUGCUGCUCUGGCCCUUGCUCACUCGCUCGCGCUACUGCUGCUGCUCCGGCUCCCGCUCGCUCGCGCUGCUACUCUACUCUCCCCCUCGCUCAUGCUACUGCUAUGCUCUUGCUCUCGCUCGCGCUGCUGAUGCUGGUACAUGGGCUGCUGCAGCUACACAAGUUGCUGCUCUGGCUCUAGUUUGCGCCGCUCCUCCAGGCACUGCUGCUCCGGCUGCUAUUUGCUACUGUGUUCCCCGUCGAUCGCCUGCUGAUUUAGAUAAUUGUUUCUCUACUACUGGCGCUCGAGCGGCCUUAAACUACAUGUGAAGUGCCUCUCUGCAACUAGUGCGUUCAGUUUUGACAGUAACAUUUAGAUUCCAUAGUAAAUUUCAAUUUUGACAGUUAAGUCCAGUGUCAACAGUUUUUACCUCAUCUGUUGUAGUCAGGUGUUUUUUGGUGAUGUAAAUUUUACAUAUAUCACUUUUUGGUAAUGUAUUUUACAUCAUCUACUGGAGAUGCUAUUAGUAUCCCACUUGAGAUUAAGGAUGUCUGUCUUGUACUGCUUCAGCCUCGACGUCUUACGGCUCGCCGCAGCUGCUCCAACAACGGAACCAUCCAUCACAACAGAGUAGUGCCGUGGACGCUGUCUACAGAUUCCUUAGAUCUUCCUCCACACCUUCGAUAGCCACCUCUGCCUCAACUUCUUCGGCGACCAACCCAAUGAUGUCGAGGUCGACACGGCUACGACAAAGAGGUCAUGCACUUGUCGCAUCACUUAUUAAUCUACCUUCAUGUCCAUCCAUUAGGGCUAUUUUGGUUCAAAGGAAAAACUGAAGGAAAAAACAUAGCAAUAGAUAUUUUUCCUGCGGCACUCUAAUAUUCAAUUAUUUAUGCAUUUUUUGAAAGAAAUGGAGCAAAACAUCCAUCUGGACCUAAUUUUCAAAAUCCUAUGCAUGAAAACAAGAACUCCGCCUAUGUUGUCUCAACAUAGCCGGUCCCAAGCCCGGGUAAAGGAGGAGGGUUGUGAUAGGUUUGGCGAGCCAACGUAAAAACUCAGCCACUCUUAUGGAGACGAAACCCAAAAGAUUUUCGUUGGGGCGUAACCCUCUCAGGGACGCGCUACAUCGGAACCCGGGUGUGGUGGAAAAUGGGCAAGGGCCGGGCCGUCACCCCCCAAGUGGCGCGCCGUAUCUUGAUCCGGAUACGGUGGCAAGUGAGCGAGGAUCGGGUCGUCGCAUCCUUAGUGGCGCGCUACAUCGGCGCCCGGAUGUAGUGGAAAAUGAGCAAGGGUCUUCGCAUUUGACUCGACGAGUGUGAAGGGUAAGGAAGCUAGCCGAGCCUAGGAGGAUUCGCUUAGGUAGCUGGAACGUAGGGUCUCUAACAGGGAAGCUUCGGGAGCUAGUUGAUGCAGCAGUGAGGAGAGGUGUUGAUAUCCUUUGCGUCCAAGAAACCAAAUGGAGAGGACAGAAGGCGAAGGAGGUGGAGGAUACCGGCUUCAAGCUGUGGUACACGGGGACGGCUGCAAACAGAAAUGGCGUAGGCAUCUUGAUCAACAAGAGCCUCAAGUAUGGAGUGGUAGACGUCAGGAGACGUGGGGACCGGAUUAUCCUGGUCAAGCUGGUAGCUGAGGACUUGGUUCUCAAUGUUAUCAGCGCAUAUGCCCCGCAAGUAGGCCACAAUGAGAACACCAAGAGGGAGUUCUGGGAAGGCUUGGAAGACAUGGUUAGGAGUGUACCGAUUGGUGAGAAGCUCUUCAUAGGAGGAGACCUCAAUGGCCACGUGGGUACAUCUAACACAGGUUUUGAAGGGGCGCAUGGGGGCUUUGGCUAUGGCAUCAGGAAUCAAGAAGGAGAAGAUGUCUUAAGCUUUGCUCUGGCCUACAACAUGAUUGUAGCUAACACCCUCUUUAGAAAGAGAGAAUCACAUCUGGUGACUUUUAGUAGUGGCCAACACUCUAGCCAGAUUGAUUUCAUCCUCUCGAGAAGAGAAGAUAGGCGUGCGUGCCUAGACUGUAAGGUGAUACCUGGGGAGAGUGUUGUACCCCAGCAUAAGCUGGUGGUUGCUGACUUCCGCUUUCGGAUUCGUGUCCAGCAGGAUAAGCGUGCCAAGGUCGCUAGAACGAAGUGGUGGAAGCUCAAGGGGGAGGUAGCUCAGGUGUUCAAGGAGAGGGUAUUUAAGGAGGGCCCUUGGGAGGAAGGAGGGGAUGCGGAUAAUGUGUGGAUGAAUAUGGCGACUUGCAUUCGUAAGGUGGCCUCGGAGGAGUUUGGAGUGUCCAGGGGAAGGAGAAGCGAAGAUAAGGAUACCUGGUGGUGGAAUGAUGAUGUCCAGAAGGCGCUUAAAGAGAAGAAAGAUUGCUUCAGACGCCUAUACCUGGAUAGGAGUGCAGACAACAUAGAGAAGUACAAGAUGGCGAAGAAGGCCACAAAGCGAGCUGUUGGUGAAGCAAGGGGUCGGGCAUAUGAGGACCUCUACCAAUGGUUAGGCACGAAGGAAGGUGAAAGGGACAUCUAUAAGAUGGCUAAGAUCCGGGAGAGGAAGACGAGGGAUAUUGGCCAAGUCAAAUGCAUCAAGGACGGAGCAGGCCAACUCUUGGUGAAGGACGAAGAGAUUAAGCAUAGAUGGCGGGAGUACUUCGACAAGCUGUUCAAUGGGGAGAAUGAGAGUUCUACCAUUGAACUGAAUGACUCCUUUGAUGAGACCAGCAUGCGUUUUGUGCGGCGCAUCCAGGAGUCUGAGGUGAAGGAGGCUUUAAAAAGGAUGAAAGGAGGCAAGGCGAUGGGCCCUGAUUGUAUCCCCAUUGAGGUGUGGAAAGGUCUCAGGGACAUAGCGAUAGUAUGGCUAACCAAGCUUUUCAACCUCAUUUUUCGGGCAAACAAGAUGCCAGAAGAAUGGAGACGGAGUAUAUUAGUACCAACCUUCAAGAACAAGGGGGAUGUUCAGAGUUGUACUAAUUACCAUGGAAUUAAGCUGAUGAGCCAUACAAUGAAGCUAUGGGAGAGAGUCAUUGAGCACCGCUUAAGAAGAAUGACAAGCGUGACCAAAAAUCAGUUUGGUUUCAUGCCUGGGAGGUCGACCAUGGAAGCCAUUUUCUUGGUACGACAACUUAUGGAGAGAUAUAGGGAGCAUAAGAAGGACUUGCAUAUGGUGUUCAUUGACUUGGAGAAGGCCUAUGAUAAGAUACCGCGGAAUGUCAUGUGGUGGGACUUGGAGAAACACAAAGUCCCAGCAAAGUACAUUACCCUCAUCAAGGACAUGUACAAUAAUGUUGUGACAAGUGUUCGAACAAGUGAUGUCGACACCGAUGACUUCCCGAUUAAGAUAGGACUGCAUCAGGGGUCAGCUUUGAGCCCUUAUCUUUUUGCAUUGGUGAUGGAUGAGGUCACAAGGGGUAUACAAGGAGAUAUCCCAUGGUGUAUGCUCUUUGCGGAUGAUGUGGUGCUAGUUGAUGAUAGUCGGACGGGGGUAAGUAGGAAGUUAGAGUUAUGGAGACAAACUUUGGAAUCGAAAGGGUUUAGGCUUAGUAGAACUAAAACCGAGAUACAUGGUGUGCGGUUUCAGUACUACUAGCUGUGAGGAGGAGGAGGUUAGCCUUGAUGGCCAGGUGGUACCUCGGAAGGACACCUUUCGGUAUUUGGGGGCAAUGUUGCAGGAGGAUGGGGGUAUUGAUGAAGAUGUGAACCAUCGAAUCAAAGCCGGAUGGAUGAAGUGGCGCCAAGCUUCUGGCAUUCUCUGUGACAAGAGAGUGCCACAAAAGCUAAAAGGUAAGUUCUACAGGACGGCGGUUCGACCCGCAAUGUUGUAUGGCGCGGAGUGUUGGCCGACUAAAAGGCGACAUGUUCAACAGUUAGGUGUGGCGGAGAUGCGUAUGUUGAGAUGGAUGUGUGGCCACACGAGGAAGGAUCGAGUCCGGAAUGAUGAUAUACGAGAUAGAGUUGGGGAAGCACCAAUUGAGGAGAAGCUUGUCCAACAUCGUUUGAGAUGGUUUGGGCAUAUUCAGCGCAGGCCUCCAGAAGCUCCAGUGCAUAGCGGACGGCUAAAGCGUGCGGAGAAUGUUAAGAGAGGGUGGGGUCGACCGAUUUUGACAUGGGAGGAGACCGUUAAGAGAGACCUGAAGGAUUGGAGUAUCGACAAAGAGCUAGCUAUGGACAGGGGUGCGUGGAAGCUUGCUAUCCAUGUGCUAGAGCCAUGAGUUGGUUGCGAGAUCUUAUGGGUUUCACCUCUAGCCUACCCCAACUUGUUUGGGACUAAAGGCUUUAUUGUUGUUGUUCUAUGCAUGAAAACAAGACCAAGUGCAUUAGUGGCAGAAUAACAUUCUAACUGUACACGCUUUCAUACGGUUUCAGUUUAAUUUGGCCAUGUUUCUAUGCAUUCCUCUGCUCUUCCAAUUCCUGUGAACCAAACACCCAAGUUGACAGAAAUCAUGUGUUUACAAAUGCUCUAUUACCCACGUGCAUUCCUAUCCUAUUCCGGUGUUUUUCCAAUCCCUGCAUUUUUAGAAUCCUGCAAGCCAAAGGAGCCCUAACAAAAUUACUUCAGUUACAGGUAGGUGUCGAAGAAAACUUUGUGUGGUU